UGUGCUGUUCAUCUGAAGAUGCCCUGCUCGACCAUUUUAUAAGGAAGCAUUCAUCGUGGAAAGUUGAUAGGCCUGACACACUUUACAAUCAGGAAGAUGGAAUCAACGUGCCAUCCAACAUCCAUUGCCACCGAGACACUGAAGAGACGCCCCAACAAGAUGACAACGCCGCAAAUGAAGAUCAAGUCAAUGUGCCAUCCCACUUCUUUUUCCAACGAGACACUGACGAGACGCCCCAACAAUAUGUAGACACUUCACAGCUUCUUCUUAUUCUUUCAAAUGACGUUGAACUUAACCCUGUACCGACUUUCAGUUGCAAGUGAACAUCAUGCUUCAAGAAAUUUAUUGAUUAUGGUGAACUUAGUGCCCAUAUAGUAUGUCACAUAGAGGGAACAAAUAGAUGCCAAUGGGAAGACUGCCAUGAAUGUUUUUCAGCUGUAAGAAGAUUUGAGCUGCAUCUUUUGAGACAUUUGUAUGAUAACAGCGAGAUAUUCAAAACAAUCGAUGAAUGGAAAAACACGCUACCUGAUGGGGAGAUCAAUGAACAGACAACAGAUCUGAAUAUGUGUCCGCUUCAUCUAAGGUCCAAACUGAUGCUGCUCUUAUUUGAUGAAGAUUUCUCCAUUCCAACGGGUUAUUAAACAAUAGAGGAACACUACAAAUACAUGGAAUUGCUAAGUAUACGUCUUCCUUCUGAUUAUGAAAAAAUUAAAAAUAACUUCUUACUUAAAAGAAAAUAUUUAGGUGAAAACUGGCAAAAUGAUGAUGGAAAGUGUCCAACUGUACAGUUUAAUACUGCUGCUGACUAUAUUCCUACUCCUAAAGAUAUAUAUACUGUAGCUAGUUAUAAUGAAAAUAAUGUGUUUGUCUCUACAUCUAGACCAGAGUUGUGCAAUACAUACU